AUGUAUGCAGUGGUACAGGAGGGAUUGACACAUCAACAUAAAUCCUUCAAAUCGACAUAUCCAAAAAAUACAGUCAACAGGAAUGAGAAUAAGCAAAAUUUUGCUCCUGGGGAGUUGUGGAAGGCAAAACAACUUAAAGAGUAUCGCAGAGCAAAUGGGUUAUGUUAUGGGUGUGGAGAUAAGUAUGUUCCAGGACAUGCCUGUAAACCCACAGCUGCCCCUACAGCUCAGUUGAAAGCAGCAGAAUUAAUAGAUCCUCAUGAAAUUAUAUCAGAUGUUGUGCUGGAUGCUUUGGUGGAAAACUACCAGGAAGAGUGUGCCACCAUCUCUGACACAGCUCUGUCUGGAGCAUCCCAUCCCAAAACCAUUCAGCUAAGAGCUCUGAUUGGAAAUCACGUUGUUUUGAUACUUCUGGAUUCAGGGAGCACUCAUACAUUUGUGGACCAAGCAUUGUUGGAUAGAGUUUCAGUACCUGCCCAGACAAUGAAGAAACCCAUGCAAGUGAAAGUAGCAAAUGGAGGACUGGUGGAUUGCACCAAAUUUGUACCUGAACUGACCUGGUGGAUUCAGGGGCAUAGUUUCUCCAGUACCAUGCAAGUUCUUCCACUAGGAGGGUAUGAUAUUAUCCUAGGAAUGGACUGGCUAGAGAAAUGGGGUGUGAUGCAGUGCCACUGGGCUGAGAAGUGGAUUCAGUUUGAAUAUCAACAGAAAAUUGUCAGAUUGCAAGGAGUUCUGCCUGCUAAAACAGAACCAAUUAAGGAAGUUUCUAUGGAACAACUUAAGAAGUGGGAAAAAGGAAAUGACAUAUGGGCAACGGCUAUGUUGCAUCAUAUUGUUGUCAGUCCUUGUUUUGAAAUACCUGAAGAAGUUCAGCAAGUGCUCCAAGCAAACAAAGAUGUUUUCAAUUAUCCUAAAACCCUACCUCCACAGAGAGAAUUUGAUCAUGAGAUACAUCUGGUACCUGGAACAGUUCCUCUUAACUGCAGGCCUUACAGGUACUCACCACAACAAAAGGAUGAAAUUGAACGACAAGUGUCUGAAAUGCUACAGUCAGGGCUUAUUACACCCAGUUUAAGUCCUUUUGCUUCUCCUGUCCUACUGGUCAAGAAGAAGGAUGGCACCUGGAGGUUUUGUGUGGACUAUAGAAGAUUGAAUGAGGUCACAAUUAAGAACAAAUUUCCACUACCUGUAAUUGAUGAGCUGUUGGAUGAGUUAGGAGGAGCUAAAUGGUUUUCUAAGCUAGAUCUCAAGUCAGGCCAUAAAAUGUUGUAUGCUGGUUAUUUUGUCAUCUACUCCCUCCGUUCCAAAUUACUCAUCGUGGUUUUAGUUCAGAUUUGA
rnacentral:rRNA from 1 species